rnacentral:rRNA from 1 species
UAGGGGGCAAGCGUUAUCCGGAUUUACUGGGUGUAAAGGGAGCGUAGACGGCGGUACAAGUCUGACGUGAAAGGCAUGGGCUCAACCUGUGGACUGCUUUGGAAACUGUAGUGCUAGAGUGUCGGAGAGGCAAGUGGAAUUCCUAGUGUAGCGGUGAAAUGCGUAGAUAUUAGGAGGAACACCAGUGGCGAAGGCGGCUUGCUGGACGAUGACUGACGUUGAGGCGCGAAAGCGUGGGGAGCA